AGGAUAUAAUGCUACCUGAGAAACAGGAGAUGGACACAAGCAACUUUCGGAAGUCUUGCAAGAGUAGUCAGAGACAGCUGGCAGCCUAGACAGUUAUCCUAAUAUUUCUCCCCGCCCCUGGGAAGGUCUGAGACUGGGGCCUCCCACGGGCCUCACCAGGAUCUCUCCUAGCGGGGAGGUGAGUUCCCAGAGAGCAGGGCUCCACUCGUGGGCAGACUGGGCAGGAGAGGCCCUCAGUGGGUGGAUGCCUCCCUCGCCAGAGCUUGGAACAUUGCCACGUGGCUCGUGGCUUACCAAUGUUUUCACAUCUUGCUUCCU
rnacentral:lncRNA from 1 species